GAAUUUAACAAGAAAAUUAAAAUGUGAACCCAAGGUGGUCAGUGCUUGCUGCAGUAUUAAAUAAUUGUUUUUUUUUGUUUUUUUUUUACAUCACCAUUCAUUCCGUUCUCCCCCUUAAACUCUUUCCUUCUGGGGAGGAGAGACUUGGAGAAACACUUCCUGUUAAGAAGCAAGGCAUUUCUUGCAGGUGGUGAGUGUGAUUGUUCUGCCCCUGCUUCCUCACCUUUGGAAGGAGGAUGAGUUUAUUUUCUUAACAGCUUUCCCAGAUACCCAUAUUCUUCACCCAUCUUCCCAACUAGAAGAUUCCUAAUUGCUGCCCCACCCCCUAUCCCACUCCUG
rnacentral:lncRNA from 1 species